GAUGAACGCUGGCGGCGUGCUUAACACAUGCAAGUCGAACGAAGCACUUUAUUUGAUUUCCUUCGGGACUGAUUAUUUUGUGACUGAGUGGCGGACGGGUGAGUAACGCGUGGGUAACCUGCCUUGUACAGGGGGAUAACAGUUGGAAACGGCUGCUAAUACCGCAUAAGCGCACAGCAUCGCAUGAUGCAGUGUGAAAAACUCCGGUGGUAUAAGAUGGACCCGCGUUGGAUUAGCUAGUUGGUGAGGUAACGGCCCACCAAGGCGACGAUCCAUAGCCGAGCUGGGAGGCGGACCGGCCACAUUGGGGCUAAGACACGGCCCAAACUCCUACGGGAGGCAGGAGUGGGGAAUAUUGCACGAUGGGCGAAAGCCUGAUGCAGCGACGCCGCGUGAGCGAAGAAGUAGUUCGGUAUGUAAAGCUCUAUCAGCAGGGAAGAUAAUGACGGUACCUGACUAAGAAGCACCGGCUAAAUACGUG
rnacentral:rRNA from 1 species